GAUUCUUUGCUUCCAGUUACUGAAACUGCGGAAAGCAAAACCGCAGGCAAGGCGGGGACUACUGUAUAUAUUAUAUACGUAAUUUCACAUAUGUGUUGUUCUGAAAACAUACGCAAGAAAUGAAUAAUACUGUUGGCCUGUUAGAGACAUAACUGGACGACUGAGGGACAGAGAGAAAUAAUAGUUAUGAUCCUUGAAGCGUGCAGACCAACACUAUUCUUAGAAGGGAGCUGCAGGAGGUUUAUUAUGUCAUGAAACAUGGAGCCAGAACAAAGGACUACUGAAUCACUCACCUUAUCUUCAUCUAAGAAACCUGAGAAUUACAGGGCUUCUCUGUUCCUCCCAAACUCAGCACUGCACUUGUGAAGACAGUAAGUUUUAGGGCCCAAUCUA